UACGUAGGGUGCGAGCGUUAAUCGGAAUUACUGGGCGUAAAGGGUGCGCAGGCGGUUAUAUAAGACAGAUGUGAAAUCCCCGGGCUCAACCUGGGAACUGCGUUUGUGACUGUAUGACUAGAGUACGGUAGAGAGGGGUGGAAUUCCUGGUGUAGCAGUGAAAUGCGUAGAUAUCAGGAGGAACAUCGAUGGCGAAGGCAGCCCCUUGGACCUGUACUGACGCUCAUGCACGAAAGCGUGGGGAGCAAACGGG
rnacentral:rRNA from 1 species